AGAGUUUGAUCCUGGCUCAGAACGAACGCUGGCGGCAGGCUUAACACAUGCAAGUCGAGCGCACCUUCGGGUGAGCGGCGGACGGGUUAGUAACGCGUGGGAACAUACCCUUUGGUACGGAAUAGCCUCUGGAAACGGAGAGUAAUACCGUAUGAGCCCUUCGGGGGAAAGAUUUAUCGCCAAAGGAUUGGCCCGCGUUAGAUUAGGUAGUUGGUGGGGUAAUGGCCUACCAAGCCUACGAUCUAUAGCUGGUUUUAGAGGAUGAUCAGCAACACUGGGACUGAGACACGGCCCAGACUCCUACGGGAGGCAGCAGUGGGGAAUCUUGGACAAUGGGGGCAACCCUGAUCCAGCCAUGCCGCGUGAGUGAUGAAGGCCUUAGGGUCGUAAAGCUCUUUCGCCUGUGAAGAUAAUGACGGUAGCAGGUAAAGAAACCCCGGCUAACUCCGAGCCAGCAGCCGCGGUAAUACGGAGGGGGUUAGCGUUGUUCGGAAUUACUGGGCGUAAAGCGCACGUAGGCGGACUGGAAAGUUGGGGGUGAAAUCCCAGGGCUCAACCCUGGAACUGCCUCCAAAACUAUCAGUCUAGAGUUCGAGAGAGGUGAGUGGAAUUCCGAGUGUAGAGGUGAAAUUCGUAGAUAUUCGGAGGAACACCAGUGGCGAAGGCGGCUCACUGGCUCGAUACUGACGCUGAGGUGCGAAAGUGUGGGG
rnacentral:rRNA from 1 species